CAUCGAAGACGCUUCCAAGAAAAGCUUUUGAAACGCCAGCUGUAUGCAGCCCGUACCGUAAACCGACACAGGUAGUCGAGAAGAAUAUUCUAAGGUGCUCGAGUGAAUCACGGCUAAGGAACUCGGCAAAUUAACCCUGUAACUUCGGGAGAAGGGGAGCCUCCUCUGCAAAGAGAGGCCGCAGAGAAAUGGCCCAGGCGACUGUUUAGCAAAAACACAGGGCUCUGCCAAAACGAAAGUUGACGUAUAGGGCCUGACACCUGCCCGGUGCUGGAAGGUUAAGAGGGGAUGUCAUCGCAAGAGAAGCAUUGAAUCGAAGCCCCAGUAAACGGCGGCCGUAACUAUAACGGUCCUAAGGUAGCGAAAUUCCUUGUCGGGUAAGUUCCGACCUGCACGAAUGGUGUAACGAUCUGGGCACUGUCUCGGCCGUGAGCUCGGUGAAAUUGUAGUAGCGGUGAAGAUGCCGCUUACCCGCCACGGGACGGAAAGACCCCGUGCACCUUUACUAUAGCUUUGCAUUGUUUUCGGGUCAGGGAUGUGUAGGAUAGGUGGGAGGCUGUGAUUGGGCGUCGCCAGGCGUUCAGGAGCCAACGUUGAAAUACCACCCUUCGCUGGCCUGGGAUCUAACUGCUC
rnacentral:rRNA from 1 species